UAUAUACAUUACAUUAGAAAUAACUUUAAGCUUGCACUUCUUCCGGUACUACAUAUAAUUUCAUGUCAAUUCGAUUAGAUACUUUGCCAGAAACAGAAGCAAUUGAACAAGCGAAGAUUUAUCUUUCCAAAAAUAAAGAUCGCGAUGGCAUCUGUUGUAAAAUACGCAAAGAAUGUUUAUUAUGAUUCUUUUAAAUGGUCUGUAAUUAAGAGCAUUGGAUUAUUUGUAUUAGGCGUAAAGAUUGCUCUUGAAUGUAAAGGGAUGAACCUAAUGCCACCAAUCUCUUAAAAACUGAAAUAAGCAAGCUAAAAAUAUAAAAAUUACUAAUAUAUUUAAAUCUGCCAUAUUAUACAUGUGCAUAUGUAAUAUUUUGUAAUUUUAUUAUGUAAAAAAUCAUGUUAAUGGAAGGAGAACAUUUAUAUAUACUUGCUUUACCCGAUCCCUUCAUUCAUUUCUAUGCCUGUACGUAUGUAAAGUCAAAAACACAAUAUAUCAUGUUAAUAUUAUUUGUAAUAUGUAAUAAAGCUUUCAGCUGUUUUUAUCUAUUAAGAAGCUUUAUGUAAAAUAUAUUAAUGAAUGUAUUUGUUUUCCUUAAGCGGAUACGAUUAUGUUCGUAUAUUAUGUACAUGGACUACUGAAAUAUAUAAACAUAUAUAUAUAUAAUAUAUUUAUGUUAUAUAAUAUAUAUAUAUAUAUAUAUAUAUAUAUUCGACAACAAAUAAUUAAAAAGUAAUAGUGUAAUGUUUAAAGGAUUGAGGACUUAAUAUAAAAUAAAAUAAUAUUAUACAUGUUGAUAACAUUAUGUAUACAUAUAUAUAGAUAUAAAGAAAAAAAGUACGAAAAUUUCAUAAACACCUUCGUUAAUAUAGAAAAAUAUCUCCUAAAUGUUGAUUGGGGUUAGGUUUCUUCGAAGAUCUCUUAGUGAAAUCAAAAUUAAUUUUUAUUAAUAUAUAUUGUAAGAAUAGUGUUAUACUCAUUAAAAUAACACACUGUUCUCUUAUUAUUUUACUCUACUAUUACAGUAAGUAAAAAAUUAUUUCAUUCCUCAGUGCUUACAAUAAAGCUUUUGUACUGACUUACACUUUAUAAUAUGUAAUAUGUUUCACAAUUAUAUUUAUUAUCAAUUAAUAUCUGUUACAUUAUUACAGUAUAUAUAAAUGGACAAAUGUAAUUAGCUCUAUAUUUUUUCUAUUUAAACUCUUCCAAAAAGGUGGAUAUUUUUUACAUAACCUUUUCUCGUAAGUAAAUAUUUUUUCAGUUGUUCGUGUUAUUUAUAUUAAUAUCACUAAUUUAUUAUCAUUAGAAUCACGUUAUGUGGAGCACGUGUUAUAUAUAUAUAAUACCUAAUUCGAUCAGAUAUUUAUGAUUUAGACUUUAUUUACUACAUUACUACAAUAACAAUCUAUUGUUAUAUGUGAGAAAAUAUUUGUAUAUUAUUUACAUGGGUUUGCUCUCUGUUUAAAGAAUAGUUACUAAUCCGGAAGAAAUUAUUAAUGAAAAUUGUACAUAGGUUACAUAUCGAACAAACAAGAAAGUGAACUUCUGAAGACAUAGAUUUUUAGACAAAAGUUACACAUAUUAUGUUUUACACUAUACUUUAAUUUACUUGUAGCGUGCGUAUGUAUGGGUGAAUAAUAUGACUGAUGAAGAUAUAAAGAACUGAUUACAUAACUUCGAUACAUAAUACGAAGUUACAUUAAAGAUCAUGUAACACACCAUGUCAAAAAUAUUUAUAUACUAUGCUGAUUACUCAACUUCAGUUCAACAAGAGAUAUACCUAACGACCAAACAUCAGACCUGAUGUCAUACUGUGAAGGGUUACCCGACGGGUCUAUCCUUUCUGGCUAAAAAAAAGGUUACAAUGGAGAAUUUAUUGAAUAGACAGGUUCAGAGAUGUUAUA